CUUAACGUUACAGACAAUCAGAGAACGAUGAUAAUCAAUACAAUGAAAGAUGAUAUAUAAAAAUAAAAUAAAAAAACAAAAAAAAAAAAAAAUUUAAAAAGAAAACAAUAAUAUGGAUGUGAGAUAAUUUACAACGUUAUAUUAUUAUUAUUACACGAUACGAGUAGGUUUUAAGUUUUAUCGGUAUGAUAAUAUUAUUGCGAGGAAUAAUAAUUUUCGUUCCGCUUAGUUUAUAUUAUUCGUAUUAUUAUUAUUAUUAUUGUUGUAAUAACGCGCGUCACGGAAACACCAUAGGUUCUUAGAGCUUGAUAUUAUAUAGUCAUAAUAUUAUUGUAUAAAUUAAAUGUUAAUCUAGCCGUACGAAGAGUGUGACGAAAAUAUUCAGUAUAUUCGGAUAUUGCUCUAGUUGUCGGAAAAUUGAUAAGGGGGUAACGGAGCGCUCUCGGGCGUGUACCGACCGGGAUAAAUUCAUCGGAAGUGUUUUGUUUUAUGCAAUCCGGGGUGUUUUAAGUAGUCCGUUGUAAUAUCGAUUCCUUAUUUUCGGCGUCUUUCAGCGUUAUUACAGGGAAGAUAUCUGAUAUGAAAGGAAAAACGGGUUUUGUUAAAGAAUUUUCGUUUUGCUCUUUCGGUUACACGUAAUAGUCGACUAUACGACAUUUAUUAUUAUUUUUUUUUUUUUUUGUAGGAAAAUGAUGCACCAUCAUUUUCUCCCCAGAACAUCAAAUACAGAUCGACGCCACUUUAGGAUGCCACGUACAAUAUUCCAUUGUCGCCUCUCAAAACAUCAUUAAUACCACGAUUAUUACGUUCUUGUGGGUUAUCGACCACCCCGCUACUUUUCUACUCCGGACAAACUAUGAUUGAAAUCUCCCCUCCUCUUUUAAUUUUACCCUACGUGGUUUUUCAGCCACUUAAGCAUUUAUAGCUGUUAGGAAUACGUUUAGGUCGCUAACUUGCUUGAAGCUGCAGUCGUGGAUUUUGACGUGGCAAAUUUUUUUGUUCGCCAAAUAAUUUAAGGGUUAUGUACAAUAACCAGACAGCACUUAAAAUGGCGAUAGAGAAUCUGAUAGAGCAAAUUAUUCUCGUAUUUUCUGAGAGAAAUCCAAAUGAAAGUUAUAACGUGAAUAUACAAAACGUUAAAAAAAAACAAGACUACACCAAAAAUUAAAUGUUAUAAAUAUCUCUCGUUUUGAAAAAAAAAAAAACCCCGGUAAAACUAGUAAAACCUGGAGUAAAACCAAACAUUGUUUUUAUCCCCUGGUCUAAUGCACCUAAAUUCAUUUUGAAAAUCGAUAUAAUUAUAAAUACGAUAAUUUUGUUUCGAAAUAUUUCCCCCCCCCCCCGUUUGUCAUUCCCGUAAAGGUUCAAAAAACGGAGUUGUCUGGGGUCCGGCAAGAGCACGAAGCCUUCCGGUAUUGUUCCUCGUAUCAUCAUUUUUCUGACAACUAGGUAGUGGUUGUAAUAUUAUAGAUACGAAUUACCGCCGUUUCGGCAUCGUUGUAAAACUGGAUAUUGUUUUCCGCGCUCGACAUAACUGUGCAAUUUAUUAUUAUUGUUGUACAACGCGUCACACGAUAUUAUGAUGAUAGUCGCAAUAUUAUUCUACAUUACAAAUUUUAUAAUCGUCGGCUAAAAAUAAUAAAAAUAUACAUAUUAUAUUAUAUAUGCGUACCUAUACACGUCUUAUGUUCUUAUAGUAUCAUAAUUGAUCUAGUCUGUAUAAUCGUAUUAAAAAUUUAAAUAUUUUAUGUAGUACACAUUUAUCGACCACACUUUUUAUUAUACGCCAUUUAUUUUUCGUUGUUUUUAUGAUAUUAAUCGCGGGUCCGUUUUUCCUAUUUUCGUAAACGCGCCUUGCACUCGCGUUACCCAAACCCAAAAAAUAUUAUAUAUUGUACAGGGACUGCCCGGACGGAAUAUGCGUUUUGAGAACAAAGCAGUCUAUCCUCAGUUUUGCAAUGUACUAUCCAUUUAGUUUGACCUGAAGAGUAAAACCUACAGUAUUAUGUUAUCCGCAGAGACGCAUUAAUGUAAUAAGGUAAUUUCUUGCCUCCCUCUCGAGAAAAAAAUUAAAAUAAUAAAAAAAAUAGUUUUGUACGACUUAAUAUUACGAGCUCAUUUUCAUUCUUCUCGUCUUCAUCUCCUUCGGACAACAGAUUUAGGCGGCCGUGUUUUGCUUCGUCACGGUUUUUUCUGCUCUUUCGCAUUAUUUUAUUAUAAUACGACAUUUUCACUAUACACAUUAUAUUUUAACUCUUACUGGUUUUUCCUCCAGUAUUAUUAUUAUUAUUAUUAUUAUUAUUAUUAUUAUUAUUAUUAUUAUUAUUAUAUUCUUCUCAACUACCACUUUCAUUGUACUCAUUUUUUUUUUUUUUCUAUAUUUUUAAAUACAUCGUUUUAUUUAUGUAUUACUAUAUUAACUAUUAUUAUGUGUGUUACAUUUUUAUUUCUUUUUAAUUUUAGAAAUUACAUUAUGGAAAAAAUUGUUUAUAAUUUAUUUUAUUAUUUGUGUUAAACAAUACGUAUGUGUUCUAAAUAAAU